GCAAAAACUGUGAAGGGAAUAAGAUAUAUAAAACAAGCAAAGAGAACUAUCGGUUGGUGUAAGAUAGUGUUGGCUUUAUAUAUGUAUAGCUCAUCCCGGAGUUGUCUGCCCGAAUAUUUAAAGGCAGACCGUAAGGUCCCGUUAUAGACCAGAAUCUUGUUGGAGAUUCGCUGAGGAACGCUUUUUGCGUUUGAAUCAGGGUGGUACCGCGUGCAUUGAAUUUUAUGCUCGCCCCUUAG
rnacentral:ncRNA from 1 species